CAGUGGGGGAAGAGACCAACGGAGGAAGAGGCAGGAGCAUUCUUCCUCCCUGCUCACUACCCGUCACCCUGCCUUUUAAAAGCUUCUGAGGUGUCAUCUUAGGAGUGCCAUCAGUGGUUGGAUAAGCUGUCCCCAGCUCUUCAUUGAUCAGUUCACGUGUCCACGCUUCCUUUCUGAGGGCCUUCUUGGACAGCGGGCACACCAGGAACCCCAGCAGCGCCACGUCGAGGUCGCGGGACGGCUCCCCCGCCUGUUCCCAUGCGCCGAGGGCCGGGCCCGGAUGCGUGCAGCCACCUACGGCCAACCGGGGACGGUGGCGAGAGAGCGGCCGGGGCGAGGGAGCCUGCCCCUCGCGCGCUCCU
rnacentral:lncRNA from 1 species